rnacentral:rRNA from 1 species
UAAAGAUUAAGCCAUGCAUGUCUAAGUACUUGCUUUAACAAGGCGAAACCGCGAAUGGCUCAUUAAAUCAGUUAUGGUUCACUAGAUCGUAUCAAUCCUACAUGGAUAACUGUGGUAAUUCUAGAGCUAAUACAUGCAAUGAAGCUGUCUGGCCUUGUGUCAGCAGCGCAGUUAUUAGAUUAAAACCAAUAUAGGCUUUCGGGUCUAUUAACUUGUGAUGAAUCUGAAUAACCGAAGCAAAGCGCAUGGUCUCGUACCGGCGCUAGAUCUUUCAAGUGUCUGAUCUAUCAGCUUGUCGUUAGGUUAUGUUCCUAACGUGGCUUCGACGGGUAACGGGGUAUCAGGGUCCG